ensembl:lncRNA
GGUUUACCAAGCUUGACGUGCCCAGACAGCUUGUCUCAAAGUCUGGGGCCAGGCAAAUUGCAAGGACUUGUGCUUGAGUUAGCCUGGAGACAUCUUUGGACUUCAGGAAAUUGAGUAAACACAAACGUCAUCCUACGACCUGAAACACCUCCUGAAGCCACAAGUGUCUCCAGAACCAUCUCUCCUGACCUCUUUUUCUGCUCAAGAACAAUCUCCAGGAGAAGAUGCAGAACCACCGCUGUCUACCGCACCUGCUGCCUCUUCCUCAGCACUUACUGUUUUGGUAGCCGCAAUUCUCUCAUCUCUUUCCUUCUGUAGCUUGACCUGCUGCAGCAAUCUUUGCCAGGUCAACGCCUGCCCCUCCAGCUUGGGUCAUAUUUCAGGGUUUCUUUUUGCCCUUAUUAUCUAGACUGUUAUCGGCUGGUUCAUUGCAAAAGGCAAACAGGACACAAACAAAACAAAACAAAACAAAACAAGAAAACAGAUAAGAAUAUGAAAUAAGCACAAUAUACGAGUCUUAUUAGAUAAAUUUCUGUAAUGUGAACUUUAACAGUGUUGGGUAUACUGUCGUUAACAACACUGAAGCUAUAUUAAGGAAAGUUUUAUUAAUUUAAUUUAUUAUUAUUGUAUAUUUUUUAAUCAUUCCAUGGGCCUCCAAAUAUCAUCAUUCUUGUGCAAGUGACCCCAUCUUAAAAUUCAAAAUGCAGCAAUAUAUUGUUAAAGAUAAAGUCCCAAUGUAUACUGUGAAAAAGUAUUAUAAAUAUUUAUAAAAUAUUUAUAAUUAUUUUUCUACACACUAUAGUACUGUACUUUUUGAGGUUUGUUUAGUUUAACAGAUUUUUUAUUUAAAGGUUCUGUAUGUAGGAUUGACACCGAGUGGUUGAACUAGGUAUUGCAGUCCAAAUUCAAAAUAUUGGAGAGGGUUUUUUCACCCGGCCCCUCCUCCUCAGACUCAAUGCACAGGCAGGUUGCCAGAUUGAUGACACAAACAGGAACGAGUGCACUUGACGAUGAAUGAAAUGAAAUACGCUGUGUUUUCCGCCAACUGGCAACCCGGGAUGCUGAAAUACAGUUGGGUAAACUGGCAGUAGGCGGGUUUCAUAAACCAAAACAAAGCUGACAUUGGCAUUGUUUUUCAGAUAAAAAGGUAUUCUAACUUGGCAUGUUUCUUAAAUAUCUGCAAGCAUAUUAUGGUAUUUUUAUGCUUUAGUUGAGUCAAAAUCUUACAUACACCACCUUUAUGAUUGUUUUUAUUAUUAUUUUAUUUAAAUUUAAUCUAACUAUUUAUUAAUUAAUUAAAUAUUUUUUAAUGAUUUUUUUUAAAAAUUGAAGAAUUUGAAAAUUGAAACUGAUAAAAAAAAACAGUGGAAAAAAAAGCAGUAUAUAACAAAAUAUUUGUAAAGCAAAAU